rnacentral:rRNA from 1 species
AACCUCCGCAAUGUGAGCAAUCGCGACGGGGGGAUCCCAAGUGCCAUUUUAACGGGAUGGCUUUUCUUAAGUGCUUUUGGAUAAGAGCUGGCAAGACCGGUGCCAGCCGCCGCGGUAACACCGGCAGCUCUAGUGGUAGCUGUUUUUAUUGGGCCUAAAGCGUUCGUAGCCGGUUUAAUAAGUCUUUGGUGAAAUCCUGUAGCUUAACUAUGGGAAUGCUGAGGAUACUGUUAGGCUUGAGGUCGGGAGAGGUUAGCGGUACUCCCAGGGUAGGGGUGAAAUCCUAUAAUCCUGGGAGGACCACCUGUGGCGAAGGCGCCUAACUGGAACGACCUGACGGUGAGUAACGAAAGCCGGGGCGAGAACCCGGAUUA